AUCACACUUUUCUGCCAGCUUUGCUGGCAGUAAGUUAGUUUCUGAGCUCAAGUUAAAAUUCUGGUUAUUACCUGUAAAGCCUAAAUGGUUUGGGAUCAGGAUACCUAAAGGACUACUUCCACCUGAAUAAUCCAGCCUGUUCCCUAUGAUCAGCUGAGGAGGCCCUUCUGAGCUGUAGCAUGCUUGGGAAGAAUAUGAGAAAAGGAUGCAAGCAAAUGGCACCAAGACUAUGGAACUCCCAGCCCAGAAAUGUAUGUUUCACCCCUUCAUUUUUCCUCAUUUGAUGAAGGUGUGUUUUUAUUGUUUUGUUUAGGCAAGCAUUUCUGGUUUUGAUCUUUUCCUGUGACUUAGUACACUUGGCUGCUGGCCAGAUUACACAGUCGUCUGCUCUCUCCUUAGUUUUUAGGAUUAAUAUUUAUUUGUGCUACUCUAUGGUUGUGUUUUAUUUUAAUUUUAUUUUUUUAUGGACUCCUUGAGCAUGUUUCAGGAUGGUAGUUUGCUGAGAGAGUUAGCAAGGGCACCAGACCCGGAAGAAAGCACCACCCCCAGCUUCUUAUUGGCUUUGUGCCUGCAGCAUCAUAUGGUCAAGGACCUCCAGCCAUUGAAGACUGCUGGGGCCAGGAGCAGUUGAAGGAAACCAGAGGCUGGAGCUCAGUCCCGGAGCACAUCCUCAGCAUCUGCAGCUCUUUUCCCAGCUCUGUGACCCCAGGGAGCUCUGAGAACACUCCUUCAAGGAUUAGGGUACUGCUGUUGAAUGCCAGCUCGGUGACUACCAACACAUCCUGUGGCAGCGAAUUCCUAGUUUAAUCACAUGCUGUGUAUACUGUAGCAGUAGAAUCAGGAAUCAAGUCAACACCGCUGGUGUGAGAGAUGGCCUGGCCUGGAGGAGGACAACUUAGCCAGCCUGGAAGCAGAAGGAGAAGAAGAUAUUUUCGUUCUUAAAAAAAUUUAAAAGGAAUACUGGGAGUGAAUUUGUCACUGACUGUUACGUGGCAGCAACCACACACUACCACUGAGCAGGGAUACUAGCCAUGUUAUUCUGGACUGUUCCUAAUGAAAACUGCAGAGAGCCCACCGCCCCACUCUAAUUAGUCGCCUAUCAUCAUUUGGUUGAAGAAUACCUGAAUGACUCCGCAAAAAGGCCAAGGUCUUAUUGAGAGCACCACAUGUUGAACAGAAGCACAUAUUGAACAGUGCAGUCAAAUCGAUGUUAACCAUGCGGAGCAAAAACCAUCUAGCUAAGUAUGAGCUCUAGUGGCAUACUAUAUUAGAGAGAGCUGCAGUAGCUUUUGCAAAAUUAGCAGCUCCCUGCCUGCAAUGACUCAUCAGUAUUGCUGCUUGUGUAUACCGGAGCCUUGGGGGACAUUAAAGAGAGCUGUGAAUUCACUGCACAAUUCCAACGUCAAAUUCAAUCAGAAGACAGGCUGGAAUAUACUUCCCAGGCAAAGCACUGGUCUCUCAGCCUUUUGCUAAUGUCCCGGAAAGACAGAUUGAAGAGCUCUAAGCUGCAACCCACCCCACCACGUUUGUGUUUAUUCAAGCUCCAAAAGUCCAAACCAGGGGAGGCAGUUGUGCAUGGUCACAGGAGGAGUUUCACUGAAAAGUUCAUAUAUCAGCAUUUUGUUGUUUAAGGUUAAAUUGCAGGUUAUUCUAAAAGUGUUUGUUUUCUGGUUGCUUUCUGAUACUUUAGGAAUGUUAUCAAUACAAGUUCACUCCUGCAGUGAUGGUUAGGCUGCGGCAAAGAAGCUCCUUUUAAAAGUCUCUUUUGAGAAGAGCAGGCGGAAGAGCAAUUGUCCCUAUUCAGACAAGCACAGCAUCUCUCCAGCAGCUGCUGUUGGUGUCUCCUCUGUCAUUUGUGUGUUUUGUUUAGAUUGUGAGCCCCUUUGAGAUAGAGAUCCAUCCCUUUCCCCAUGUAAACUGCUUUGAGAACUUUCUGUAGAAAAGCAGUAUAUAAAUGGUUUAUGUCGCUUCUUUAUUCUACAGAAAUGGAAUUGCACUUUUGGUAUGCAUAGCUAAGAGAUGGGCCCAUUUUAUGGAUUACACAGUGUGAAGAAUCAGAGAGGGGGUCAGUAGGGCUGGCCCCCAAUGUCAAAUUGGAAGAUGAGGCAGCUGCAGCUCCCCUCCCCUCUCCAUCCACCCCUUCCUUCACUUGCUCUGCAGAGCCCCCUGAAGUCUUGCUUGCAAGAGCAGGACCCCAAAAGGAGAAUGGAAGAACUGUGGCGAUCCUGUUGCCUGCUUUAUUUAUUAUUUUAUUUUUAUUUUUAACAUUUUAUAUCCUGCUCUUCCACCAAGGAGCCUAGAGCGGUGUACUACAUACUUAAAUUUCUCCUCACAACAACCCUGUGAAGUAGGUUAGGCUGAGAGAGAAGUGACUGGCCCAGAGUCAUCCAGCAAGUAUCAUGGCUGAAUGGGGAUUUGAACUCGGGUCUUUCCAGUCCUAGUCCAGCAUUCUAACCACUACACCACGCUGGUUCUCAUUUGGCUUUGGUGGGAGACUUCAAGCACUGUAGCUGAUGUCUGGGCUAUGGGGUGGAAAUGCCACUGAGCAGUUAUAUAUGUUGUCCUGAGGAAUAAUAUGUGAUUGGGCACACAGAAGGGGACAGAGAGGGAGGAGAUAACCCCUAUCUUCCCUAAACAGUAAAGGUAAGGUAAAGUGUGCCAUCAAGUUGAUUUUGAUUCCUGGCACCCACAGAACCCUGUGGUUUUCUUUGGUAGAAUACAGGCAGGGGCGUAUCUAGGGUAGGGCAGGCAGGGCACGUGCUCUGGGCGCCACUUGAAGGGGGGGCGCCAUUUUUCUAAAAUUAAAAAAAAUUAAAAUGGCUACUGAAAACAAAAU